rnacentral:lncRNA from 10 species
CCGCCCCCCCCCCAAUUUGAAUAAACUUACAUUAGGAGCACCAAGAAAAACACACAAAAUAAUCUAGUUUUUUUUUGGUCAGACUAUGAGAAUUGACAAUGCUUGGUCAAGUUCAAGGACUUCCACACUCAUCAGUUCCAUUGAUCCAGGAAUGCUCUUUCUCUUCUCAGUCCUUUCCAGCAAACCAAUUUUGUGGAAAGACCAACUAAUAGUUACAAAUGGAAACUUAUUAUUAAAAAAAAAUUACAGUAUAGGAACAGGUCUUCCCAAUCAAAAAUAAAGUAGAACAUGAGUCAGAGAUAAAGUCAUUUCAAAUGCAUGUAGAAAACUGAAAGUCCUUGUUUUUUUUUUUUAUUCACAGGAUUUUUUUCUUUCCUUUUUAGGUUGUGGUCUAGAAAGCAUAUUGUGAUUUGUACAAGAAGCACAUUCCCAUUUUACAAAAGUACAAAAGCACAUUUUGGACUUUUAACAAAUUCAACUGUUUUGUGUUCUGUGUGAGUAAAUUUUAGGUUGCCCAUCAUUGAAAACCAGUUUAAAAAAAAAUAAUGGGAGUAGAUAAUCCAGACAACAUUUUCUACCGUAUUUGUUGACUCCAGUUGUUGGAAAGUAAAAUUCUGGAGGAAGAGCUGGGAUAUCUCCAGGGGCUUAGUUUAACAUCAUCAAAGACUCUCCUGCUCCCCCUUUGCAUGUUACAGUAUCUGCUUUACCAAUCAGAGGGAAAUUUAUCAUGUAGGAUUUAAAGGAGAUAUUUAUGGCGUCCGUAAGCACAAUGACUUUGACUGGUAAGACGUCAGCUAUUCCCUUUAGGAGAUAAAAGGCCACAGCUGGUGAGGUAAUAGAACAGGAACUGUUUCAAUAUUUCAAAACAGAAGACCUUGUUGAAGAAGAGAGAUUUUAUAUGGCAUUUGCUUUUAUUUUUUUCCUUCUAUGAUGAACAGGUGUGGGAGUCAAUUCAAGAAGGCAGCUUAGAUGAUUGUGAGACAAGGGAGGGAGGUAAAUAUUUUUGAUGGUUGGGGAAGGACUGAGAUUUUCAAACUUCAAACCAAACAUGUAGUCCAAGCCUUUUCUACCUGUGUACACAAAGGAAAGAGGAAACUAAGUCAAUGUAAAAUAGGCAGUUGUUGUUUGGAAAAGUUAUGAAAUCCUCCUGGCUACACAAAACAGAAAGCCCAGCUAUGUGACAAGUGUUUGAUGUAAAUAUGCAAAUGCAGUUUUAAAUUCAUUAUACCUAAGGGAACAAGGUGUCUGGGUAAGGGGGGUUCUACUGUUUCUUAAGCUUACAAAGCAGGUCCUUGAAUAAUGUCAUUUAAGUUCAAUGUAAUUUCCUUAUAAUGUUGAUGAGAAAAAAAAAAUGGAUUCCUAGCUGAAGUCAUUGUGUGUGUGGACUUUGCAUGUCCUCCCCAUGUCUGGUUUCCUCCCAAAACCCAAAGCUGUGUCCGUUAGAUGAAUCAGUGUGUCUCACUGGUCCCAGCGUGAGUGAGUGUUGCUAUGUAUGAGUGGGCCCUGCAAUGGGAAUGGUGACCUGUCUGGGGCUGGUUCCAGCCUGGUACCCUGAGCUACCAGAAGUGGCUCUGGCCCCUUGAGCUUCUGAACUUGAAUAAGUGGGUAAAUUAUUAUCUUACUUGUUUUUGUUAACCUUUCUUAAGUGUAUGUGUAGCUCACCUUCCUUUCAAAGUUAUUUUGAUGUUUAUUUCAAUAUUAGAAGUGUUUGGGUCUUUCUUUAGAAGUUUGGUGAUUUUUUUUUUUGUGACCAAAAUAUGCUGUAGCAACUUAACUCUUGUUUAGAUCGGUUAGCUUAUAGCAAAGCUAUUUUCGUUAUGUGUUCUUUCACUUGAAGUUCCAGUUUCCAAGAACCUAUUGUCCAAGAUAAGUAAGGACUUACUGUACUUCUGGGCACACAAUGGGCUAAGCAUCUUAUAUUAUCAAAUGAGAUGAAAUAAAAUAUAAUGCUAAAAUGAUGUUAAAAAGUUAUCACAUUAUAACAAAUUAUAAGAAUUAUUAAAAUGACAGGAUAUAUUAAAGCACUGUAAAAAGUAAAGCUUAGUAGAUGCAUUAGAGGUUAUGAUUGGCAUUGCUAACAUUAUUAUUAUUAAAAUCCUUCAGUGCUGGGCACCACUUAUUUCUACCCUUAUAACCCCAUGGACCUGUACUGUAUCUUGUAAUAAAACCCUCAAUAAAUAUUUGAUACAUUGCUGAAUAAAAGGUAGGUUGACUUCUUAAAGUACCUGCAAAAUACCUCAUCCACAAGAGAAAAAGGCAAGAGAAUAACCUUGCUUCAUGAAGAAAGUAUCGAUCAUUCAGGCGUUAAAUUUUCCAUUUGUUCAUUUUUUUUUUUUUCCAGCAGAAACUCUUGGAGAAAUUGCAUAGCAUUAUUUUAAACAAUUCCCCUCAGAGGCCCAUUAGAUAGGCUUUUCUGCAGACAGGAUAGAUGUCUUUUACAGCUGGUCAGUGUUUAGUUCUCCCAAUACUUGACUGAAGAAAGAAAAUAACUGGGAUGUAAGAUAUCUGACCUAUAGAUUGCUCAUUCUCUGCAUGAGUCAAUCUUUGAAGUCGGAAGAUAAAAAUCACCAUUAAUCACAAAACUUUCUUACCAUCAUAAGGUCAGAUAUCCCAGGGCCCUUCCAAAAUUACCACGUGGACUGGCAUAGGGCGAGAUUGGCUCAGCUGUGGUCACUUUUAUGACACAGAGCUCCUUCCCUCUGGUUGAUGAUAUUGAAUGAGCAGGAAGGAAGAAAAGAAAUAAAAGUCAGCUAACCAUGGUUGAGUCAAUCCAGCCCACGGCAUUCAAAGGCUGAAGGGCCACCUGACACUCCAGAGGCUGCUGGAAAUGCAGGGCUGUUUCAUCCUGGGGUGAGUUUCCGUUAGAAGAAAUACUGACUUGAAUGAAACAAAGAGUCCGUCCCUUGCUUUAUUGGACAAUGAAAGUUCCCAUCAUACUGAUCAAAGAUCGAGGAUUUGGGACAUGUGGGAAUGCAUUAAUAUCUCACCUGUGGCUGAGGCAGAUGUGUGUUUCCAAAUGAUAAUUUCUUUUCCUGCAAAGCCAGGUGUGUAAGGAGAACUAAGGGAAAAGGAAACUUUUUUUUCCUGUGAAAAUCUGGAUCCACUUCAAUCCAAUUCAGUUUCAAAAACAUUUAUUUACUUUGUGUCCCUUAAGUAAAUAGAAUAUUAUCCUGAAAACACAAAGAACAUAGAAACUGAAGUGAGAUAGGAAAUUAAAUGGAAAGGAAGGGAAGAGGGGAGAAAAACAGGGAGGAAGGAAAGAUUGCUGAGGGACCUUUUGUAUUGUGCUGUUUAAUAGACACAUUAUUGCUUUCAGUCCUCAAAGCAAUCUUGGGAGAAUGGUAUUGUUUAAUCAUUUGCCAGAUGAGGAAACUGAAACUCAGGGAGGUUCCUACUUGCCCAGGGAGGUGCUGUUAAUUUUCUUGUGGAGAAGGAACUGUCUUUAGAAAAAUAUCUCAAAAAGCCACUGAAGUAGAAAGUUUCAGCAUGCUGAAGAUGGAACUUGAGAAGAUAGAAAGUUCUGGGUCCUUAGUGGCAUGACUGAGUCGCUGGACCACUGUUGGAACCACCCUAUGUCUUAGUUUUUAAAUCUCUUUACUGUCUAAGACAUUUUUAGUGGAAGUAUUUAUCUCUGGCAUCCAAUAAGACCUUUAAGGAUUUGCAGUUUUAUCUAUGUGUUUGUUUAUUGUCUGCUCCACCCUACUUGAUUGUGAUCACCAUGACAUCAAUGACUGUGCAUCUUUUGUUCACUCAGGAAUAUCCAGUGCCUGCCACGCAGAGUGUGCUGCAUGUACAUGCUCACUUGAUAUCUGUUGUAGCAAAGAGUGAAAGAGAGAAGGAAUAAAUGCUUUCUCCCAUGAUGAGGGGACAUGGGGUCCAGACAAGCUGGACCAUUAUCCCAGGCCCAGCGCUCUGCUUUAUUUUUUUUUUUCCAGUACAGCAUCACAUUCAGUUACAACAGAGUGAAAUCUCCUAAGAACACGGCUGAUUAUUUCUUGAUUGCAAAAAGGACUCACUAACCCUCCGAUCUCCUGUAACGCAAGUCAAUGCUCUUCUAAUCUCCUUUUAGACAGCACCUGUACUUGUCAGUCAACGCAUGGUAGUCUGGGCUAGCCAAGUGAAUCCUUAACUAAACUGAAGUGGUGCUGAUCAUUCAGCCUUCAGAAUUGAAAAAAUCACAGCAUUGCUGAAGGAAAAGGCAUUUUUCAGGUAGAGAGGCAUAAGUCUUGGGCCAGGAAGCUUCAGUAAGAAGACAAUAAUUUCAUAGAAAUGCAUUAGCUUGGGGAGUCCAACUGCUGUUCUUGCACCUAAGAAAUUCAGAGGAGAGCUCUUUGCUUCCUUGCUCAUUCCAGUGGUUAGGAGUCAGGCCUUGUCCCAGAAUGUUCAGGUUGAUGCUUACCAUUUAAGCCUUAAGUUAAUCCGUUGAAGCUCCAGGCCUUUUAUGGGAUUCACAAGAAUAAACAGCAUUUAACUAUAGAUUCUCAAAGGUCAAAUCUUCAACCUAAAUCUGAGGAUUCAAAGCAUUGUUCACUCUAAUAAUUCUGCUAGUUCCCAACUUCACACAAACCAUUUAUUUCAGAAUGUAAACCUUGAAUAAUCUUUUCUUACUUGUAGUUUUGUGGUCAUUUAGAAAACAGCAAUACUCUAUUUUAAUUGGAACUAAGUGACAAAAAUAAGCCACUUCAUUAGUUUUCUAGAUAACGGUAAAAUGUAAGAACAAAAAGCCACUUCUUUUUCCACGUGGUAUUUUACAGUGACUUUUUUUUUUCUUUUUACUGCAUUUUAAAAUUCUACUGGAGGCAUUUCUCGGAAACUUUCUCUUACUUGUUAAUGAAUCAUCCCCUUUGAGAAUCAGCAGGUGAUUUCAGGAGCCCAGGUGUGAAUAAUUGAUUUAAGGUCGACCUUGUGGGUGGAGCCAAUGUUUACCAAGUGCAUUCAUUCGACAAACAAUUGAUGAACACCAAAUUAGAGUUCAAUUCCAGAUAACAAAAACCAGUUGAACUAAUUUCAUCAGAAAGCUACUUAAUAGGGGUAAUUAGGUGCUUACAAAAUAGAAGGGCUGGAAGCCCAGGAUCUAGGCUGACACCCAUGUAGCUAGACCCUGGAAACUGGGAUUCCAGCUGCACAGAACAGCCAAGUGUGUUCAUGACUGUGCUUGUUUGUCAGCAGGAGCAUGGCCCUGCCUUGUGAUACUGUGUUUUUCAGCUCUCACGUGGCUGAGUCUGUUUGGAGAAGUUGGUUCAAGAUGCAGCUUGACUCUCAGGGAGUCUGAAUAACUACCCUUAAUAUUGUUAGCUUUCUGGUCUCCAGCACACAGUAUGAUUUUCUGGAAGAAGGAUUUAAUGUAGUUAAAUAUGCCAACGUGUAAUAUCUGAUGUACAUUUCUACCCUGCUUGGGAUACAAAAUAAAUAAAAGCCAGUUUCUGUCUGUAAGGAGUGUACAGUUUAGUAAGAAGACAGACUCCUGAACAAAGAUGUAUACUUCAAUGUUGCCAGCCCAGGAUUAGAGAUGGGUAUUAAGAGGACCUCUGAUGAGUGAUAUUUUGCAUCUGGUGCAGGACAGUUCCCUAGGUGGCCUUGGACCAAACCAGUCCUCCCGCUUUCUCACUUGUAGUUUUAAGAAUAACUAGAAUGUGCUGGGAAUGCAACAUCCCGAGAUAAGGCCUAGGCUCUGUUCCAGUCCCCGCUAGAAACAGGAUGUCCUUCAGCACAUUAAUCCAGCAGGUCAUGUUAUCCCUGGAGUAGAAAACCCAGAGACGGCUACUUUCCAGGGUCCUGCAUCUGGGGUGCAAGUGAGGCACACGCAGAUGAGACUCCACCUGCCCUGGGCAGCUUUCCUGAGCCUUGAGAAACCAGCUCACCAUGAAUCCAAGGUGUCUGCUGUUCCUUGCCACCAUUUCAUGGAACCUGUUGUAUGUAACGCAAAAGAUUCUUCAAAAUCAAACUGUGUCCGGAAUUGGUGGGUUCUUGGUCUCACUGACUUCAAGAAUGAAGCCACGGACCCUGGCGGUGAGUGUUACAGCUCUUAAGGUGGCGUUUCUGGAGUCUGUCCCUUCUGAUGUUCAGAUGUGUUCGGAGUUUCUUCCUUCUGGUGGGUUCGUGGUCUCGCUGGCUCAGGAGUGAAGCUGCAGAUCUUCACGGUUGCUAGUAACACAAUAAUAAAGCUGCUUUAUUUUCCAGUGAAGAUGUAUGUGAUAGGGAGUGGAGGAAGAAAAAGGCCAGAAAAUUCCAUAGUUAGCAAAUAUACCUUUCUUACUUAAAAUUCUUUUUCCAAUGUGAGCCUUCUAAAGAGUUACUGAGAAAUUAGGUGAGCUCACCUCAUUUAAUGCAAUAGAUAUGUUUCUGAAAAAUAAGCAAUACAUAGGACAUUGGCCAAUUAAGAAUUCUGAUGAAGAAGAAUUUUCACAUCCGAAAGAGUAAAAAUGAAAAACGGUACAAAUGUAGUGGCUUUUAAAUUUCAAAACAAAUUAUUUUGAUAAGAUAAAUAUUCCUCUCAUAAAGUGAAAAUGGAAGAGACUGCUUGCUGGGUGUUCGUCAAAAUGGAGUUAGAUGGUCUGUCCCAGACUCCCCUGUUGUUAGUUCUGAGAACAGAAGUAAUGGUGCUUCUUCAGGACUGGCUCAUAGAAACCUGCCGUGUUCAGCCCCCACAAUCCUCUCCCUUCUGCUGGCUGGAAACAAAUGACAACGAAGCCUCACGUCUUGGAGAAACCACACUGCUGAGGAACUCAAGUCCUAGAAGAACCAUUUGAAGAGACCCAUCUCACUAAAGAAAAUCACACAAGCAAGAAGUAAACUUCAUUGUAUCUAUGUAUUUAAUUGUCAUAACAGUCUACCUUAACUGAUACAGCAAAAAUUCGCUCCUUUUCUGGACACCCAGUUUCAAAAUCUCAGUGUCAUUUUUUACUUCUCUCUUUUCAGGUUGUUUAAUAUAAUAAAAUUUGUGUGUGUGUGUGUGUGUGUGUGACAAGGUCUUGCUCUGUUGCCCAGGCUGGAGUGCAAUGGCACGCUCCCAGCCCACUACAGCCUUGACCUCCAAGCUCAAGUGUUCCUCCCACCUCAGCCUCCAGAGUAACUGGGACUACAGGCAUGGGCCACCACACCCGGCUAAUUUUUGUACUUUUUGUAGAGACAGGGUUUCACCAUGUUGCCCAGGCUGGUCUUGAACCCCUGGGCUCAAGCGAUCUGCCCAUCUCCACCUCCCAAAAUUCUAGGAUUACAGGCGUGAGCCACUACACCCAACCAUUUUAUUUUUAAAAGUUUUCUUUGCAAUAUUGCUCACAUUGUUUCCUUCCUUUUUAUUCUUAUUGUCACUCCCAAGUUCAGGCUUUUACCUCUUUUAUUUGAAGUAUUAAAGUAUACUUCUAAGUCAUUUCUGUGGCUUAAAUUUAUUUAAUCCACUCCAUCCUGCAUCCUACCAACACAAUAACAUUGUUUCAUCAUUUCAAAUUGAAAUCGAAACUCUCCAAAGCUUUCCUACUGCUGAAUGGAUAAAAACACAAAAUCCUCAAUAGAGAAUUCACUUUCUGGAGCCAACUUACCUUUCCAAAUAUUUCCCAUUAUUCCCUAAGAGAAUCCUCCUGACAUACUCACUGUUUUUCAUAUACACUAGACCUUUUCUCAACCACCUAUUUGUCCACACAUUUUUCUUCCAGCUAGAAUAUUAUUUUCCCUUUCUCACUUCUGAAAGUCUUACCUGUCAUUCAUGGUUCAUCUCAAGCUCAAUCUUCUCCUUGAAACCUUUAAGCAUACCCUCCUGGAAAGUUAUCUCCCUCACCUCGAACCACCCCCCCAGCCCCUGCCAGAAUCUCCUAUAGGGCUGAUUGUUUAUCCUGCUUAUUAUAUAUUUAUAAAACACUCCACUGAGUUAUUAAUUACCUUUUCCUUGACUGUGAAAACAUGACUCUGGCUUCAAGGUAGGACCAUUUUUUCUCUAACACUGUGUCUCAUACACUUCAGCACAAGCUCUUAGUGGCCUGUGCAUUCAACUCCCAUGCAUAGCCACUUCCUCCAGGCAAACCCCACAGCCAGCAUCCAAAUUUUAAAAGGGGUUCUGUCAUCAACCCAAAGUUUCUUCUCUCUCAAGGAACCUAGAUUUAGAAGUUGAGUCUAGGCCACCUGUCUAAGAUACAGUAGUUAAUUUAACAUAUUUUAUUGCUCUCAACAUCACAGAGAAAGAGCCUUACUGCAGAUCUCAUUCUUUCCUUCAAAGCCAGUUUGCCCAUUCCUCUUCAGAAACCUUUAAGAGUGGUUAUUGGGAGAGAUGAUAAGACUCCAUCUGCUUAAGGAGUCCCUCUAACCCAGAAUAGUAGAUGUAAACACCUGACAUGUUGUUAUAGAGUGAAUGUUUGUGUUCCCCUCCAAUCCAUAUGUUGAAAUUCCAAGCCCCAAUGUGUUCGCAUUGGGAGGUGAGGCCUUUGGGAGGUAAAUAGAUCAUGAAGGUGAAGUCUUCAUGAAUGGAUUAGUGUCCUUAUAAAAGAGACCCCAGAGAGCUCUCUCAUCCUGUUUCUGCCAUGUGAGGACACAGCAAGAAGUUGGUCAUCUGCAACCUGAAGUGGCUCCUCCCCAGAAACUGAAUCUGCUGGGGUCUUAAUGGUGGGCUUCCCAGCCUCCAGAAUUAUGAGUGUAAAUGUUUGUUGUUUAAGCUACCCAGUCUAGGGUAGUUUGCUAUACUACCCCAAACUGACUAAGAUACAUAUGUUUGUCAUCCACUCAGUUGUUUUCCUAAAAUAAAUGAAGUCAGCUCCAAAGAUGAAUUUUCAUCUCUUUUUGUAGAGAUGGGUGCUAUUAUGCUUUUUAAUGAACGUUUAUUCACAAAUAAAAACAAAACAUACCUCUCACAUCCUCAGAGCAAAUACUUACAGUAACAUACAUUGAUGCUCACAAGCUCAUUACAUUUCAUGUUUACUAUUCAUUGAUAACAUUACAUUUAUUAUUAUCACAUAAACCAUACCUCCUGUUUAUGAAGCACUUAUGGUGUUUUAGUCAAUGUUAUGGUACCUGCUAUAUAUGGUCUCUAAUUUUAUUUUAACUUCCUAUAGUAAACAAUAUUAGGUGCUAACUCAAUAGUCAUUUUCUAACCUGAUUUUUCCUUGCAAACAGAACCCCAAAUUUGUUUGGAGAGAAAUGUGUCCAAAUCCAAACAAAGCAUCACCAUUUCUUUGAACCAUCAUAAGGAUCUAAUCAUUUUUUUUGUUUUCCUAGCCUCCCUCUAGCCAGAGAUACUGGGUAACACAGUUCUGGCUGAGAAGACAAGAGAAGAAAUCUGCUAAGCAUUUCUGGAAAAAGUUUUGAUUUGCUGAUGAAAGGGAACAGACAUACUGGUUGCCUUCCUUUUCCCUUUCAGCUGCCUAGUCGCCAUUUUGCAAUGUGAAACAACAUCAUUAAGGAAAGAUCAAAACAAUUGCAGAGAUGUCAACCAUCAUGCCUUUGAAUUCAUGCUCACAGUUGUCUGCCUCCAGAUUCAGUUAUAUUUGAGGUACUCUUUGAGUUAAGAUCCUUCUCAUUUUAUACCACUUGCAGCUGAACACACUCCCCACUAAUUUACCUUGUAAGGUGAAUUUCACUUAAAGGAAGAACACAUAAGUCAGGGAAUGACACAUAAUAGUAAAUGCAGGGUUUUUUUUUCUAUUUAUGAUAUAGAUUUAUACAACUGCUAUGUUCUUGACAUUGUACCAAUUUCAAGGUACAAAUAAGACAUAAUCCCUAAAAGCAUGGGUUACAAAAUCUGGGUUCAGCAUAGGGUUUCAUGAUAAACAAACAAACACAAAUUGUUUUUUAUUGUAUUUCCUUCUUCUUCACAUCUUGUGAAUCUAAGAAAAAUAUCAGAAUGUUCGUUUCAGCUCAAUUUUUGAAGAGUACAAUCUCUAAGUAAAAAGAAACUGUAAAUGUUUAUAAAUGUAACUAGAGCCUAGUAGAAAAUAAAGCCAUGCAAGUGUGUUUAGGUCCUAAUCUUAUUAACCAGAUUAGUGACACACAGUCUGCCCAAAGUUAAUGAAAGCAGUGAGGUUCUUUGACUUCAGUAGAUACACACCUGAACCACAGAGAUAAACUUGCUUCAAACCUGUGCGAUAUGUUUUUCUAAGCAUAAAAUUGAGCAUGAUAGCUCCAAUUUCAGUCUCAGUUUCAAAGCUUCCCUUUCCCGAAUAAGAGGCAAACUGUCACAUUAAAUUUAGCGAAUUAAAAUCAGUUAACUUGAAAAGCUCUUGGCCCCAAUGCAGAGAAAAUUGUUUGCAUAAUAAUAACUUAUUUCCUUUUUUAAAAGGCGGACUUCUGCCUGAAUGCUUCUAUAAACUUUUAAGAAAAUGGGAUUCUCAAAUCUCAAGCGUAUUGGGUUGCAGUUGGCACUUGAAGCUGGGGACAUGCAGAGCUGGCUAAUGUCAGCAGCUGUAGGACUGUCAAGAAAAAUAGGUGGAAGGGACACUUUUAUUAUAAGUAGACUUGCAAGGCAUUCCAACUUUCAGCUGCUCAACCCAGUAUACCAAACACCUCUGACUACCUCAAGUGUGGCCUUGCUGAGUGCUUCCAUAUUUAGGGGUUAUUAGACAGGACUGAAGCAAGUGACCUCUAAUGAGGAAGCAAUCAGGGCAGGCUCUGACCCUCCUCAGAGGUACUGUAAUGAACUGGCCUUGGAAGGUCUUUGAUGCUGCCUUUGCAUACUGUAUAUGAGCUUUCUGCUCAGUCAUUUCCUCUGCGCUCUGGUAGCACAGCAUGAAGCCUGCUAUUAGAAAAAAGGUUUAUUGCUACCUUGCAAACAUUUAUUGGGUAAUAUCUAAAACAUGGUGUCAAGUUAUAGUAAUGCGCUGUUCUGGGAAACUUUUUGAGAAUUUUAGUGUUUCAGAAGAUGGUCCUUUGAGAAUUCUUCUGUUUCAGAAAUGAAAAGUGGUAGAUAUAUACGUGUGUGUGUAUAAUAUGCUCAUGUAUCCUCUGAUUACUUGCCAGAGAUGUACCAUUUUUCUUUCAAGGGAAACAUCUAUUCCUAAGAUAGAUUAUUCUUGAAAUUUUCAAAGAGUAUGCCUCAGAGAACAAAUAUACAAAUUUACCAUUUGUCUGCAGAUAUUAUUUGCCUGUGUUUAUGCUAGGUCACUGACACCACACACAUUUUAAUCCCCAAGGGAAUUUAUUUGGUGGUGUUAUCUACUCAACCAAGCUGAAGCUUAUCUAGUUCACAAGAAAAUAGUCAAUAUGAGCUCCAUGCAGACUUAUGCUGUUAAUGCAGAAGAGGGAAAGAGAAUUUACCUUUAACUGUUAUGAUGAAAAUGUGUACAAUGACACUUAACUAUGGCAUGCAAAUCCUCUUUUCCUCCCCCACAGGUAUCUGGAAAGUACCUUAUACAGCUAGGUGCUUAGAAAAUGUUUAUUGAUUAAAUAGAUGAUGAUUAACAGAUUAAUAAAAGGUGAAAGUUACUAUCUAUGCAUUUUUUUCCAGUUUGAUGUUCAAAAACUUACCAAUGGAUGGGGAGUUGCUUUUCAUAAACAAUUUAUAAAGCACUGUCCUGGAUGAAAUUGUAAAAAGGACGUGGUGUCAAAGAUGACUCAGUGGAGUUGAGGUGAAAAAUGUGUAAUGAGCAAAUCAUGGUAAUUGGGAUAUCCAUCACCUCAAACCCUUAUCAUGUCUUUGUGUUGAGGACAUUUCAAAUCUUCCCUUCCAGCUAUUUUGAAAUAUACAACAAAUUAUUGUUAAGUGUAGCCACCCUAGUGUGCUACUGUACACUAGGACUUACUUAUUCCUUCUAUCUAACUGUAUUUUUGAACCCAUGAACCAACAUCUCUUUGAUUUCCAGCCUGGGCUUUGGUGUCCCUUUUUUUGUGUGUUUUCAUAGGGCCCUAUAUUUAUAUUAUUUGGGCUCAACACAUUGCAAAACUGCAGAGGAGUUUACUAUUAUGCACAUUAUUAUUCUAUAUUCUGUCACUCUAAGAAACAAUAAGUGACCAUCUGAAGAGACCAUCUUCUAGCACCAAAAUAUUUAAAGAUGAUUAAGAAUAAGACAAGGGUCUCCUUAUUUACAAAAUGACAUAAUUGAAAGGACUAGAUUAUUAGCAACCCCUCUGGAAAAGGAUUACUCUUUUGGAUUUUAAUUACAUAACUAAUAUAUCAACUGAAGUGCUAUGCCCUGACGUGUGCUCCCCUCAGCUUCACGAUCCAUAUGUUGAAACCCAACCCCUUAAUGUGAUGGCAUUUGGAGAUGGGGCUUUGGAGAUAUUAGUUAGGUUUAGAUAAGGUCAUGAGAAUGGGGCUCUUAUGAUGAGAUGAGCACCUUCAUAAAAAGAGACACGAGGUAUUUCUCUUUUCUCUCUUCUCUCUCUCCCUCUUUCCCUCCCUCCCUCUCUCCUCCUUCUCUGUCUUCCUCCUUUAUGUGAGGACAUAGCCAGAAGGCAGCUGUGUCUGCAAGCCAGGAAGAAAGCCCUCACCAGGAAUCAACUAUAUCAGCACCUUGAUCUUGAACUUCUAUCCUUAGAACAGAGAGAAAAUGAAUUUCUAUUCUUGAAGCCACCCAGCCUACGGUAUUUUGUUAUGGCAGUCAAGCUGAAUAAGAUAUAUAUCUACACUGAGACCAUUAAAAGUAGUUCCUGAUUGGCAGAAAGGUUGUAUAUAUAAAUGGCUCAUUGAAAGUUCUCACUGCAUGGAUGAGAAAUCUCAGAUUGAGGUUCUUAAAUUUUGAAAAAUAGAAAUAAAGGAAUUAACGCAACAGUCUUCUAAUCUUUCUGCCUUCAGUUUUUGCUCCCUUUGACUAUUCUCUGUACACUGCAUCCAGAGGUUAUAUUUUGACAGGGAAAUUCAAAUGAUGUAUAUUAUUUUUCUACUCAAAAUCUCCCCACUGGCACCCUAUUGUCCUAAAGCAUAAACUGCUAUUGCAGUCAAUUCACCUGAAAUAAGCUCUCUUCCUGCCGCGUCUUUUACAUAGAUUGUUUACUCCUCUUGUGAUCCCAGUUCCCUGCUUCUCCCUCUCCUCCACACUUUUCAAUAAUUAAAUUAUACUCAGCGUUCAGAAUUCAGUCAGGAUAUCCUACCUUCUUUGGUCAGCCCCCCAGGGUUUUCUGAAAGCUGGGAAGAGGCCCUCUUCUGCAAUCCCCAUGCACUGUAGACACAUCCCCUUUAGGUCCCUAUGUUGUGAGUGACUGUUUUCUUGUCUGUCUCUGCCACUAUAUUAUGCACUCUUAGAAGGCAAGGACUACUUCUCUUCAUUGUAUACCUAGAACUUAACCCAAAAACUGGCAUGUGCAUGCACCCAAGUUUUCACUGAGAAAAUAAUUGCAUGAGUCACUUGCUUUCCAGGUCUUUCUGACUACUAUGAUGGUGAUGACUUGUAGUCACAACAUGAAAUUGGUUUCUGCCCCUGAGGAUUGUAUCUCUCUACUUUGCAUGACCCCUAGAUUUCAAUCCCUCUUUAUUCUCUCCUGAUCCUUGGGUUCCAGUAAUUCUCUGGGUUUCAAAUAUAAGCACAGUGUGAGGAGCUCUUCAUUCUUGACAGAACUUUCAGGCAAGAAAGAAAUAGAUUCCUGGGAAUAUCUAUAUUCCCUCUGGCCCUAUUCCUUACUCCCAAAACAUAAUAACCCUUUUCUUAGGUUUUUUCUCUCUACCUUUUUACUUCUUCCUUAUUCUCACGAUUACAUGAAUUAACUGCCUACAGAGUAUGAAUUCAGACUGAAUUAAUAUGUAUUUAUGUGACAUAAAAGAUCUCUUUCAGUACUUCUUAAUCUUACCAAAUGAUGCAUACUAUACAAUAAAAAAUUGCAAUUUUUUCAUUAGCUUUUUUUUUUUUUUUUGGUUUCUGGUAGGGUUUUCCUUUAGUGGUAUUUUAGCAAGUAAUACAAUCCAGUUAUUUUUAAAAGUAUAUUAGUAGAAACUCACCAGAAGUCAAUAUACUGGUCCAAGAAUAAUUAACUGAUUGACUUUAUUGUUUAUGAAACUUUGUAAUGUUCCUUUUGAUGUGAAUGCUUAUCUUAGGGGGAAAUGCACUUUUCAAAUAUAAAUGAUCAUGUUUAAACAAACUGCUUCUAGUUUCAAAUAUGGCACUGAAAAACAAAAUAAAAUAAACACUCAAUUUUUAUUUAAAAUGGUGGGCAAUUUACUUUCUUUUUUGUUUGGGAUCUGAUUCAAGAGCCUCAAUUCAGCUUAUUGCAGAACUAACUAAACUAAACCUCAAAGGAAAAAUUUUAAAAAUGAUUUUUAUAGCAAUGACAUCAUUAUAUAAAAUGUUGGCAUUUCAUAUUUUCCAAACAGAAACUUGGAAAUAACAGAAUACAAGUUAAAUAAAACAAAUUGAAACUAAUCCAAUUCUCUGUUUUUCUUUCCCUUUUUAAAAACCAAGCUUUUUAUUGCCAGCUUUUACUUUGCAUAAUAAUAUAUGAUGAAUUGUCCAAGAAAGACCCAGUGGGUACAUUUCUCUUAGAAAUAAGCCUCUCUAUGCAAUAGGAGGCCAAGUUCUAGGGCAACAUACUUAUAUAAUCAUGUAAGAUUUUCCUUAUUGCUAACAAUUGACCAACCUGGGCAUUUGUCAAAUAUGUAAACACAUGGAGGUCACUGGUCACCAGAGGAUUGAAAACACAAAUCACUCUAUUCAUAUCCAUCCCUAGUUCUAGAAAAACAAUACCAAAUUAAAGCAUAUAUCCUACUAGCAAUAGGACUAGCAAAAUUAUUUUGGUAUACCAGAGCUACAUGUUAUACAUUUUGCUACUUAUGGAUUUAAUUACUCAGGAUAAUUAUACACAUGGCUACAACUGUAAACUUUAUAAUAUUUUGCUGGCAUACCUUCCAAAAGAGUUUGAAAAGCUAUGAAUUUAAUUCUAUAUUUGCAUUUGACAUAUAAAGUAC